CAAGCCUCCUCUCACGCCGAUUUGCCCUAACCGGCGACAGUUUUCCCCUUACGAUUUAAAGCCAUCCCAUUCCUCUUCUCAAUCAUCUUCCUCCGAUCACAGCCGACGCUGAUGCCCUAGCCUCUCCACCGUCGUGCCCUAGUCUUCCUUCUCGCCGCGAGCCACAGUGCUGAGCGCCUCCCCUCUGCUCUAGAUCGCCAACCCCAUUGACCUCGUUGCGCCUCCUAUCAUUGUUGCAUGCCACCAGGUCCGACCCAGCGCCGUCGUCUCUUGUGCCCUAGCAUCGGCGACUGAGCCUUGUUCCUUGAUUCUUCUUACUGUCGAUGCCAUUGGAGCCCUAGUUCUUCCCCUACGUGCCAUUGUCGAGCGCGACCUUGGUUCUGCCCUCUGUCCUUGGCGUCUCGACCCAUUGUCUCCUCUCGGCCUUGAUCACGCCGGUGCAAAGGCUCUUCAUCAUCGGCGCAGGGCCACCGCAGCCAGCAAGGUGUAGGGUUUCGGUGGAUCUAAAUUGUGGGGUUGUUCUUGGAUCCGACAGUCACUCCUUCCAGCAACCAACAACCCUAGUUGGGCAGCAAUUCUUUGAUUCCAGCUUGAUUUCUGCAGCAAGAACGGCUGUGAACUUGAGGAUUUUGACGCGAGACGAGUAUCUUGACGUCAGAUUUGGACCGGAUUAGACUUUUCGAUUGGAGGUUGAGGCUGUCCGGAGGAUUUCCAGUCACUAGUCCCCCCCCUCCAGAUUUCGAAGAUUUUCAUAUGGACCUUUUCAUUGUUCUUUUCUUACUAUAUAGUUGUCUAUGUAUUGGACUUAUGCUGGUUUUGCUUUAUGAAUAUUGUAUUAUCUUUAUUGUCGAUGAGUUUUAUUGGAUAUGUUUUACUA